GGCAGGACAGGAGUUUUGAGUAAAAAAAAAAGGCAGGAUGAGACACUUGCAAAAAAAAAUAGUCAGGACGACAAUUUCGGUAAAAAAAAAGUCAGGAUAAAGUAAAAAAAAAAAAGAAGGCAGGACCGAACAGAGUGAAAAAUAAAAAGGCAGGACAGAUAUUACAGCUAAAAAAAUGCAGGACAAUUUUUUUUAUCAGUGGCGAUGUGCUUGAGUCCAAUCUUUAUUGACUAGGAUUGCCAGUUUUCCUACUGAAAGUCGGUGGUUCUCUUCAGACAUUCUGCUUCAGCCAUCAAUUAAAACACACCGCCACGAAAUAGCACACUAUUGCUGAAAGUGGCGUUUAUCACCAAUCAAUCAACCACAUCUCAUUGAGUCAUGUUUAUCAAAACUUUACCUCCUAGUGGGUACGUUCUAUUUUUAGUGUUCAAUGUGUUUGCAAGCUCGGUAACUCCUUGUGCCUAAGUUCAACUCCUUGUGCCUAAGUUCACCUCCUAGUUGGUAUAUAUAUGUACGUUCUAUUUUGAGUGCAUCUUUAACGUACAUACGUAGUUGCAAUAUAACUCUUUGUUUGCAUGUUUAAAGAUUAAGCAGGAAGGAAUGUCGACACCUUAUACUAAAUACCAUUUCAAAAUACUUAAAGUAUAAUAUUUCAUUCAUAUGAAAAUUUGUCAUCCCUGACAUCAUAC
rnacentral:lncRNA from 1 species